ACAGGUUAUACAGACUUGGAUCUAGUAGGCUGAGCGGAGGGACUGCAGUAGAUAAGACUGAGCAGGCACAUUUGUUUAUUUUAAAGACUUUGGACCCAGUGCAGCUCGCUGACUGAGAAAACAUGCAAAAGCUCUGCAUGAUGCCUGACCGGACGGACAGACUCUCCUGUAAAUCUCAACUCAGUGUUUCCAGCUCUUUGAUUUUCCAUCACGCUGUUGCCUUCCUUCUCCUAACACACUCCCACGGAGGUCAGUCUCAGGCGACUGGUCAACCUCAGCCAAUAGUGGCAAUGGUCGGUGAUGACAUCACUUUGCCAUGCCACGUGAAACCUGCCA